UUUUUAAAAAAAAUAACAGUGUGAAGGCGUUUAAUAGAGGAAUGCCGUCCUGCUCUUGCACGUGUUAAACAGGCUUUUCUGCUCACAGCCGACAACAUGCCAGUAAACCAAAAUAAAUAGGUACAGCUGAUGACUUGUGCACACUGAGUGUACUGUAGACACCUUCUGGUUUUACCACAGCGUUCCUGGUGUCAUCUGCAGGAAUGAAGCUGAGCCACUCCUCUUACCUGAGCUGUGUGUGUGUGUGCUUGCAUGCCUUCAGGCCUGUGGGCGUGGGCUCAGGCCUCUCAGGUGUCUCAGCUCCUGAGUCAUCUGCCAAUCGCAGCAUAGCUGUUAUUCCUCCCUGUUGCCACUCAGCAGCUUUCUCUGUCUACCUCUCUUUUAAUUUGCUGCUGAAAGGCAAACAGGACAGAGGGAGAUACGAUUCUGACCUUAAUCUAUCUGGAAUGGACAGGAAGCACGAAGAAGAAGGAGGAAGACCCAGUACAGACUAGGACUUGUGACUUGUAUGCAUCUUUACACGGCACUAGAGACUGUAAAGCUGCCUGGCUUAGAGCGGAUGACUUGACUUAAAGCCUCACGCUGGCUGAUCAUAUGAUGUUGCUGUAAAGUACCUGGAGGGGGUAAGUCAUGCUUCACAGUCAAAAAAAGAUUCCUCCUGAUGAGAUGGGUUUUUUGUUCUUUGCCUAAAUUUCUGUCAGUGCCGUGUUCACUGGUGGAUGAUUGACUUAGCAGUUUGUAUCCUCUGUAAACAAAUUCUGUUAUAUUCACAUUUAUAUUUCUACUUUCACUUUACCCACUCAGGCUGUGUUCCUCUUUUAUUUUGCCUUCUCUAGUGUAUUUUUUGUACUUCUCCUUUGUGUUGUGCUAAUCAUCCUCCUGAAUCUGUGAUGUGCUGUAUGAACUUCCUAUGCACUGUAAGCGACUUCCCUUGAUAUCCAAGACUGCACCUGUGUCUAAGUACUAUUAUGUUUUAUUCUUGUUUUCUCUUUCAUUAGGCAGAGAAAUGUUUCUGUCUGCAAAUCCUUAGUUAUCUUAGCAUUUCUGCUACGGUUUGUAUCAUCCACAGUAGUGCUGAAGAUAGCAUCACACACACAGGGACAACUGUGUUGUUAGGUGACACACUUAAGAUUUUAUCAAGGAUCAGUGAGAGACUGAAAUCACAAUUGUGCAAUGUUCACAAGGUCUUAAAUACUGUG
ensembl:lncRNA